rnacentral:rRNA from 1 species
GACGAACGCUGGCGGCGUGCUUAACACAUGUAAGUCGAACGGAAAGGCCCUGCUUUUGUGGGGUGCUCGAGUGGCGAACGGGUGAGUAACACGUGAGUAACCUGCCCUUGACUUUGGGAUAACUUCAGGAAACUGGGGCUAAUACCGGAUAGGAGCUCCUGCUGCAUGGUGGGGGUUGGAAAGUUUCGGCGGUUGGGGAUGGACUCGCGGCUUAUCAGCUUGUUGGUGGGGUAGUGGCUUACCAAGGCUUUGACGGGUAGCCGGCCUGAGAGGGUGACCGGCCAAAGUGGGACUGAGAUACGGCCCAGACUCCUACGGGAGGCAGCAGUGGGGAAUAUUGCACAAUGGGCGGAAGCCUGAUGCAGCAACGCCGCGUGCGGGAUGACGGCCUUCGGGUUGUAAACCGCUUUCGCCUGUGACGAAGCGUGAGUGACGGUAAUGGGUAAAGAAGCACCGGCUAACUACGUG